ensembl:rRNA 5S_rRNA 5S ribosomal RNA
AUCUCUAUCCAAACCACCCUGAACAUAUACAGUCUCACCUGACCCAGGAGGCUAAGUGGGUUGGGCCUAUUUAGUACUUGAAUGGGUGAUCCCUUGGGAAACCCAGGUAGUACAGGCU